ensembl:lncRNA
UUUGAGAGAGACUGGUGCCUCAACGGGACCCGACUUGUCUCGGCUUUAUGUAUGUGUGUGGGUUGUGCCACUGCAGCAGGAAGCAGAGCUGCUCUAGAUGCCUGCAUUGUCAUGUGACACAUUCCCAUUGAAGCAGCGCUGUGUUGUGAGGCCUGUUAUUUUUACCCAGCGUGCACCUGGACGGGCCCUAGACCUGCUCUAGCCUGCCUUUCCUCCACUGCACAGCACCCUCAGGUGUUUCUUUAAAGCCUGUCAUCUUCAUUCUCUCCGCCUCUCAUUGCCUUUCCCUCGACGCACAAUCGCAGCAGCUGCAGACGCCUUUAAUUGGACAUUGAUUUCAUACAUGUGCACUGUAGGACACCAUCACUAAAAGCAUCUUCAUUACACAUUUUGGGACACAACAAAUGAAUAUGGUGGAUUUACUCACUCUUAUGUUGUUCCAAACCUGACUUUCUUUAUUCUGUUGAACACAAAAGGAGAUAUUAUUUUGAAGAAUGCUGGGAACCAAACAGCCGCUGACUUACAUAGUAUGGAAAAAAGAAAAAAAAAAAUACCGUCAGCUGUUUGGUUGCCAACGUGGAUGGACUGUUUCAUCUGAAAGGAACUAUUUAAGAUCAUCAAACUAACCACAGGAAGGAAGCAAAUUUGUAGAAACCGUUGCGGUACGAGCCCCCAGUCCUGCUUUUCUCCUCUUUCAGUGAACAAUUUCAACAGUCCCAACAAGGUCAAAUUUAAGUCAGCUCGCAAAUCGUUUCGGUUGAUUGCCUACAUUUGCUUCAGUAGUAGGGAGAAGGUCAGCUACCUGAACCCAUAAAGAAGAGAUAUGCCAACCCAGACAGCGUCAUCGCGGUUCCUGUUAUGAGCCUGGAGCGGAGGAGAUGAGAGGAGAGAGGGCUUUUAUUGCCUGCUCAUGUUAGACAGAAGACCCGUUUGCCCAGCCUUGCUGCUCUUUGGCACAGUCCUCUCUCUGAUAAACAGACUACAGAUACAGGCAAUAAUCAAGAUACACAACAUAACCUGAGCUGAACAUGGACAGCAGCACAGAGAGCCAUGCAGAUGUAUUGUAACAUGCCCAUGGAUUUUGAAAGUUUGAUUAUUGUCAUCUUUGAUUAUUAUGUUGCAUGAUUAUUGUAAUGUAAGAAGUCUAAAUGCAGAAUAAGGGGCCAUUACACAAAAUGCAUUUUUCCAUUUUACUUUACUAUUUUUUUCUGUAGUUUUCUAUGUAAGCAUUUUUUUUUACCAUUCUAAAAAUUCCACAGUUUUUUUUUUUAAAAUUGAACUUGGAAAAAACCAAAGGAAAAAGAAAAAACCUUAUACCUUGUGUUUACUGCCUGCAUCUUGCAUUUUUCAGUUUUCACAUGUUCAAAAAUGUUUUGUGUAUAAAUGGUCCAUAAAUCAAUACUUCAAAUGGUUAUGCUAAUAAUAUAAUUUGCAAUAAAAAUAUUAUUGAAAA